rnacentral:lncRNA from 1 species
GACCAAGUGGUGUCCUGCCCCUGGUUGUGAAUACGCUGUAGAAUAUUUUGCUGGCCGUGAAGGUUAUGAUGUUUCCUGCCAAUGCUCUUUCAACUUUUGCUGGAAUGUAAGCUUCUUUUUGGAAAUUUCUUGUAUCAAUAUGUAGCAAGUAGUGUUUGACAUACUUUUGAUUUGAUCUGCUGCAGUGUACAGAGGACUGUUCAGUAGAAUGUGGCACUGUGGCACAGUGGAUCAUGAAGAACAGUGCUGAAUCUGAAAACAUGAACUGAUACAGAUAACUUUGAGCAUGUAGAAUUUGCCAUCAUUUGGGUUCUAUGACAAUGGUGUACAACGGAUUGUGUGGUCUUUCCUCUUUCAAGAAACAAGACUGUUUUAUGUUACUUACUUACUAGGUUGGACAUAGAUAGUCCUAUUUGGGCAUGCUUUUAUCAGCAGUAUGAGAUAUUUGAUGGCCUAAAGGGCUAUCAUAUAUGGUGUAACCUUUGGACCUUCUAAAAUCAACCAGUCGACUGCAUACAGGAGUUCCACAAUUAUGUCCUUUCUGUAGUUAAAUUUGGAAUCCUUGGAAUUUCUUAAUAGAUGGAUAUGCUUGUUCUUGCUAUCAUAUGGUUAGUGCAUUCACAUAUUUUCUCUGGAGGAGAUCCAAUAAUGCUAAAUUGGAUGAUUUGUCUAGAGGAUAAUGAUGUCACCCAUGUCAGUUUGAAGUUUGAACAUACAGCAAUUCUAAAUGUGUCAUUUCUUUUUUCUUAUUUUAGGAAAAAUACUAAGUUUAGCCACUGCAAUUCUCCUUUUGAUUUAUUUAUGCAUGUUGAUUCGAAAGGCAAACCUAGACGGUGGACUUACCAAGAAUAUGAUCUUCCAGUGCAUAUGGCAUUGGUUGGUUGUUAUAAGGCUGUUGGACUAUUAUUUGUUGAUUUAUUUAAGUUCAUAGAGUACUAUUGGGAAUCAAGAAUUCUCAGAGCUGUUUUCCCAUCACAAACACGCUCUCCUUUUAUUGAAAAAUUGGUGGCCCUCUUUACUUCAGCUGCAAUGUAGUUUAUGUAGAUACUUUUCUUAACAGCCUCUGGUGUGACUUCCAGAAGGAGCGCCCAUGUGUGCACAGAGACAUGCGUUUGACAUUCUUACAUCUAUUUUUGUUGCUACAGUGUGACCAGAAACUACUUUGACAACCUCGUGAGAGCAUUGGAGAAUGGGCUAUCAGAUGUGGAUUCCCAUGGUGGUUGUAGCAGGGCAGCGAGCUCUAAGAAUGGAGGGAGCAGCAAGGCAAGCAGAGGUAGUGGAAGGGGAAAAGGAACUACCAGCACUCGAGUUGGUUCCAGCCGAACCGAUGACCCGUCUCACUGGUCCUGCAAUCAUUGCACGUAUGCUAAUGUUAAAUCUGCAACUACUUGCCAGAUUUCCCAGCUUUGCCGAUGAGGGCAGUGACAGGAAA